CUCUCGAUGAACAAAACUUUCCAAAGAUUAUGAGUCAUUCUCAGAAGAUGUUUGUGCUGUUUGGGUCAACCUAUAUAUGUGAACAGACAUUCAUGUCAGUGAUUCUCUCGUUAACACAGGUGUGAGUGUUGACGAGGACAAGGCUGGAGAUCUCUCUGUCAUGCUGAUUGAGUUCCAAAUAACAGACUUGAAGCUUCAAAAGGAGGGUGGUGCUUGGAAUCAUUUUUCUUUCUCUGUCAACCAUGGUUACCUGCAAGGAAACAUGUGCCGUCAUCAUUGCUUUCCACAAAAAGUGCUUCACAGGCAAAGAUAUUGCUGCCAGUAAGAUCGCACCUAAAUCAACCAUUUAUCGGAUCAUCAAGAACUUCAAGGAGAGCGGUUCAAUUGUUGUGAAGAAGGCUUCAGGGUGCUCAAGAAAGUCCAGCAAGCGCCAUGACCGUCUCCUAAAGUUGAUUCAGCUGCAGGAUCGGGGCACCACCAGUACAGAGCUUGCUCAGGAAUGGCAGCAGGCAGGUGUGAGUGCAUCUGCAUGCACAGUGAGGUGAAGACUUUUGGAGGAUGGCCUGGUGUCAAGAAGGGCACCAAAGAAGCCACUUCUUUCCAGGAAAAACAUCGGGGACAGACUCAUAUUCUGCAAAAUGUACAGGGAUUGGACUGCUGAGGACUGGGGUAAAGUCAUUUUCUCUGAUGAAUCCCCUUUCAUCUGGCUGACCACCCAGAAUCCCGCCCCCUCUUCAUCUCCCACUGUGCCCUGACCAAACUGCCAGGCGCUGCACCAUCACCACGGAGAACAAGAUAUCAACAUCGCCAGGGUGUUCAGGACCUGGGGGUGCGUCUGCACUUCCCUCUGGGUAACCUAACGUCUCAGAGCAGUGAGACCAGAGAGCACCUCUUCACAGCUGAUGGGUGUGUCCGUGCUGCUGGGGCUCUACAACACCUACGAGGGGAGACCCCCCUACCUCCAGCCAGGGACGCCCGUACACUCUGUACUUCUCCCAUGUGGGGGAAGGAGAACAUGCUGGUGAAGCUGGUUAGGGUGCUGUUCAUCCACCCUGCAGUGGGACCUACCCUGGCAGCUAACAAACACCUAGUACACGACCUGCUGGACACACUGAGGGAGUUUCAGCGUUUUUAGGGCCUGGUGUGUCGGACCCUGUGGAACCUCACUGAGAAGGGGGGGGGGGCAGACUCCCCAGCCACACUGGACAACCAGGAGAAAGAGGCACUGCUUGAGGUCCAAACACUGCACCUAGACGAGGAGGCAGCGCUGCAGUGGACCUCUGGUGAUUACGAGGGACUUCCACCGAGCAUUCUGGGAGUCAGAGUUCCGUCCUGUGGCUCAGAGGCUGAGGGACAGGAUCCAGACUCAAACUGUCUGCCAUCUACACAGUCUCCCUCCCUAAAGUGUGAUGUCCUAGCCUUUCUUCUUGCUGUGCCCUGCCUCCAGUGUCUGUACUAAACACACUUUAUACCUUCCAGUUCUACCACGCUCUCCAAUUCCAUUAGUAAGGUCCUGACCAGGGACAACUCUGGGACUUAGUUAUAGGCUGUUACUUGGGUUGAGUGUUUUCCAAGUCAGGAAACCCUCUUGGCCCUAGCUAUGACAUAUUUUGAGCCUCUGACCUGUAUGACAAACUGUUUUUGUUGGACCAUAAUGUAACUGGUAAUGUAUUAUCAUCAUAAGCUACUCUUACAUUGCAAUAAUUGUAAAUUGCUUCUGUGGUGAUAAAGUUAGAACAUUGUUAAUCUGAACUGCUGUAAGUAACAAACCACAACAAAACAAAGUGUGGUAAACGUUCUCCUUCUCAAAGCCUUUAUUGUUACAGAUAUGGACCAGGCCAGGCAGUACUGCUGCAAAGUUAGUAAAGAACAGCGCUUUUUAAAUCACAACAUCAUCAUUACAUCAAAUAAGUACAAAAACAGCACUUCUGUCAAAAUAAAGUAAACCUAUCCUGCAAUAACGCCUUAGUGACCACAACCCAAUAGCAUUUCAUCAGCCAUAGUUAAUGACACAUGGUUCUCUACAUGAUACACACCUGUCCGUCUGGGAUGAUAAAGUUAGUUGGGUAAUUGUGGAGGUAUUAAGUGCAUCUAUUGUGUAUAAUAGUCUCAUCCUGUUCAGAUUGUCGUAGGGAAAUGAGGCAGUUCAGUAUCAGUAGAGAUAUGGACCAAGUCACUCUGUUUGCCCUUAAUAGAAAAGUCCCUGAACAUCCAGAGAAUUCAGUCACCCACAAUGAUGCCAGGGAGUUUCCGCAGGGAGAACGGAACAGGACAGGAAGGUGAGCAGAAUAGAGGUCAAAGGUGAUCCUUUCCCUCAUCUCACUGCACAUUAGACAGGUCCAAGUGUUCUAGCACAACAGGUGUGGGAGUAACAUUCAACCUUGGACUCGUCAACACAAACAUUGAACCACAGAGUUCAGUGUAGUAUAAAAUGGGAGGACUGACUCCCCACUGGACAAAAACAAGUUGAAUCAACAUUUUGACAUGAU